AUUGAACGCUGGCGGCAUGCCUUACACAUGCAAGUCGAACGGCAGCACGGGAGCAAUCCUGGUGGCGAGUGGCGAACGGGUGAGUAAUAUAUCGGAACGUGCCCAGUAGUGGGGGAUAACUGCUCGAAAGAGCAGCUAAUACCGCGUACGACCUGAGGGUGAAAGGGGGGGAUCGCAAGACCUCUCGCUAUUGGAGCGGCCGAUAUCAGAUUAGCUAGUUGGUGGGGUAAAGGCCUACCAAGGCAACGAUCUGUAGUUGGUCUGAGAGGACGACCAGCCACACUGGGACUGAGACACGGCCCAGACUCCUACGGGAGGCAGCAGUGGGGAAUUUUGGACAAUGGGCGCAAGCCUGAUCCAGCAAUGCCGCGUGCAGGAAGAAGGCCUU
rnacentral:rRNA from 1 species